rnacentral:rRNA from 1 species
AUGGACCAAUCCAUCCCUUUUUCUCAUGCAUAUGCAUCAGACUCUGAUGACGAUGGUCCCGAUGAAGAAGUUGAUGAGGAGGGGUUCACGCCCAAGGAGGCCCAAGCAUUUAAGAAGGUAUUCUGGCGGGACCACAAGACACCAUUGUUCAAGGAUCUUAGUCUCACGGAUGAAGCCGUUGUAGAUGGUGGCAAAUGUAUAUCUCUUGGAGCUAGGCCAAGUUCUCACCGUGAUUUGGAAGACAGCAAGAACGGGAUAUAUCCCGGCUGUAAGUUUCAAUCCUUCUUGGAAUUGAAGAUGUGGCUCGACAACUACUCGGUUACACAUUAUCAUCCACAUAAAGUGGCCAACUCGGACGUCAAUGUGUGUUACACGGUUAAAUGUGAAGUGCCAAGAUGUCCAUGGAUUGUGUGUGCAAGGCCAUGGAAAGGAGGUCCCACUUGGCGCAUAGUGAGUUGUACGCCAAGUCACAUGUGCUGA